GGAUUUACUUUGAAAUGAGUUAUAAACAAGUUACAAUUCAAAAUCACCACUCUACUUCCAUUUUAACUCAAAAAGUGAUGGUUUAAAGACCAAAUUUGCAUAUAAGUUAAAAUAUGACCAAAUGAACAAUGAUAUCUACUUUAGAACACCAAUUUAAGCUUGUUCAAGCUUUCCAAUAGCAUAAAAACAACAAAAUUCGAACAUCACCCUUGCUAGAGCCAAUUUAUGCAGCAAAUUACACCAUUAUACC
rnacentral:lncRNA from 1 species